rnacentral:miRNA from 14 species
GAUUUCAGUGAAAUGAAGCCCC